AGCAAUUCUCCUGCCUUAGCCUCCCAAGUAGCUGGGAUUACAGCCAUCAGAUCAAGUCAUUACAGUAUAGUAACACAGGAGACAUGAUUCUUGUUGUAUCUGGAAGCUCUCAGGCCAAGGUUAUUGACAGAGAUGGUUUUGAAGUAAUGGAAUGUAUAAAAGGAGACCAGUAUAUUGUGGACAUGGCCAACACCAAGGGUCAUACAGCAAUGCUUCAUACUGGCUCAUGGCAUCCCAAAAUAAAGGGAGAAUUUAUGACUUGCUCAAAUGAUGCGACUGUGAGGACGUGGGAAGUUGAAAAUCCAAAGAAGCAAAAAAGUGUGUUUAAACCACGGACGAUGCAAGGCAAAAAAGUCAUUCCCACUACGUGCACAUAUAGUAGAGAUGGAAACCUCAUAGCAGCUGCCUGCCAGAAUGGAAGCAUACAGAUCUGGGACCGAAAUUUGACUGUUCAUCCUAAGUUCCACUAUAAACAGGCUCAUGACUCGGGCACAGACACUUCUUGCGUGACUUUUUCCUAUGAUGGUAAUGUCCUUGCCUCUCGUGGAGGUGACGAUUCAUUAAAAUUAUGGGACAUCCGACAAUUUAAUAAGCCACUUUUUUCAGCCUCGGGUCUUCCCACCAUGUUCCCAAUGACUGACUGCUGUUUCAGUCCAGAUGAUAAGCUCAUAGUCACUGGUACAUCUAUUC
rnacentral:sRNA from 1 species